AUGUGUGUUGUGACUGUGACAGAUGGUUCUACUGGAUAUGCUGUUGGGUAUAUAACAAGAAGCAUUGGUAAGGAUAUCAAAAUACAAGAGAAUGCUGCAACGACCAAGGAGGAUUCAGAAUAUGAAGUUACUGGAAACAUUGUUGGAAGUGUUGGUCCUGAGAGCACAGAAAAGGAUUCAUCGUUUCUUAUAAAAACAUUACGAUCAUUCAAAGAAGCUUUGAUUAAGGAGGAUGACACAAAUGUUGCUGAGAUUGAGGCCUUCUUACUUUGCAUUGAUGUCGAUGAUGAGAAGAACUCUCUUAUGAGGAAAAUCAUUGCUUUGAAUUAUUGA
rnacentral:rRNA from 1 species